AUUGAACGCUGGCGGCAGGCUUAACACAUGCAAGUCGAGCGGGGGAAGGUAGCUUGCUACCGGACCUAGCGGCGGACGGGUGAGUAAUGCUUAGGAAUCUGCCUAUUAGUGGGGGACAACAUCUCGAAAGGGAUGCUAAUACCGCAUACGUCCUACGGGAGAAAGCAGGGGAUCUUCGGACCUUGCGCUAAUAGAUGAGCCUAAGUCGGAUUAGCUAGAUGGUGGGGUAAAGGCCUACCAAGGCGACGAUCUGUAGCGGGUCUGAGAGGAUGAUCCGCCACACUGGGACUGAGACACGGCCCAGACUCCUACGGGAGGCAGCAGUGGGGAAUAUUGGACAAUGGGGGGAACCCUGAUCCAGCCAUGCCGCGUGUGUGAAGAAGGCCUUAUGGUUGUAAAGCACUUUAGGCGAGGAGGAGGCUACUUUAGUUAAUACCGAGAGAUAGUGGACGUUACUCGCAGAAUAAGCACCGGCUAACUCUGUG
rnacentral:rRNA from 1 species